UAAUACGGAGGGUGCAAGCGUUAAUCGGAAUUACUGGGCGUAAAGCGCACGCAGGCGGUUUGUUAAGUCAGAUGUGAAAUCCCCGGGCUCAACCUGGGAACUGCAUUUGAAACUGGCAAGCUAGAGUCUCGUAGAGGGGGGUAGAAUUCCAGGUGUAGCGGUGAAAUGCGUAGAGAUCUGGAGGAAUACCGGUGGCGAAGGCGGCCCCCUGGACGAAGACUGACGCUCAGGUGCGAAAGCGUGGGGAGCAAACAGGAUUAGAUACCCUGGUAGUCCACGCCGUAAACGAUGUCGAUUUGGAGGUUGUGCCCUUGAGGCGUGGCUUCCGGAGCUAACGCGUUAAAUCGACCGCCUGGGGAGUACGGCCGCAAGAUUA
rnacentral:rRNA from 1 species